UACGUAGGGUGCGAGCGUUAAUCGGAAUUACUGGGCGUAAAGCGUGCGCAGGCGGUGAUGUAAGACAGAUGUGAAAUCCCCGGGCUCAACCUGGGAACUGCAUUUGUGACUGCAUCGCUGGAGUGCGGCAGAGGGGGAUGGAAUUCCGCGUGUAGCAGUGAAAUGCGUAGAUAUGCGGAGGAACACCGAUGGCGAAGGCAAUCCCCUGGGCCUGCACUGACGCUCAUGCACGACAGCAUGGGGAGCGAACGGG
rnacentral:rRNA from 1 species